rnacentral:rRNA from 5 species
UGGGGAAUCUUGCGCAAUGGGCGAAAGCCUGACGCAGCCAUGCCGCGUGAAUGAUGAAGGUCUUAGGAUUGUAAAAUUCUUUCACCGGGGACGAUAAUGACGGUACCCGGAGAAGAAGCCCCGGCUAACUUCGUGCCAGCAGCCGCGGUAAUACGAAGGGGGCUAGCGUUGCUCGGAAUUACUGGGCGUAAAGGGAGCGUAGGCGGACUGUUAAGUUAGAGGUGAAAGCCCAGGGCUCAACCUUGGAAUUGCCUUUGAUACUGGCAGUCUUGAGUACGGAAGAGGUAUGUGGAACUCCGAGUGUAGAGGUGAAAUUCGUAGAUAUUCGGAAGAACACCAGUGGCGAAGGCGACAUACUGGUCCGUUACUGACGCUGAGGCUCGAAAGCGUGGGGAGCAAACAGG